UCAAGGAAGGUGCAUAUUUAUUAAUCAACCCUUCAUCAUUUCUCUUGUAUAUCUUGCAUAUCAAUAUUAUGCUGUUGUAUCAAACUCCUGAACAGAUCUUUUACCUGGAUGUUGCUGGGAAUAACAAAGCCAAAACAGCUUUUGGGUUUUUCAUGGAUGGAGUAGGAAAAAAAUGGAUGGCCAUCAAGAGUACGAGCAGACCAAGGGGUUGAGAAUAUAGACAUUGCUCUGUUCAUGUUUACUGUGCGAGGAACUGGCCGUGGUAGCUUUAUUGCUGGCAAAAGCGUGCAUAACCAGAGAGUGGAACGGCUAUGGAGAGAUGUUUGGACUGCUGUAACAUCAAGUUACUACAAUGUUCUCCACAGCAGGAAGAGGAGGGAUUAAUUGACCUGUCUAAUGCUGUUAACCUAUUCUGUGUGAGCUAUGUUUUCAUUCCCAGAAUACACACAGAUUUGCAUUUCAUAGAGAUGUGGAACUGUCAUCCCUUGCGAACGGAGGGAAAUUUGUCACCGAAUCAGCUUUGGAAUAUUGGGAUGUUGCAAGCACCUGUGUCAGAGCCUGAUUUUGCAGAGGUAUGCAUUACUUAAGGUAGAUAAAACAUACUGCCUUAUGGUACUUUGUAAGGUGAUUGUUCUUGUAAUCAAUGCCUGUCACUCCCUCCCACCCAGAUUUUACAAUUAGAGGAAUUAUUAUUCCAGAAUCCACAGAGUGUUGACUCUGAACAUGGAGUCAUUGUCCCAGAGAUACCUCGCCCCUUGUCACCUGAAGAUUUUGCUACUUUACAGAAUCAAGUGAACCCCAGCAUUGAGUCCACUUGUUUUGGCUAUGACAUCUACGUACAAGCAUGUCAAUUAACUUUAAAUUUAAUGUUAUAAAUAUAUAAAGCCUAGGCGUGUUCGUUCAUACUUUCUAGCGAUUUGAACUCUCUGUAGUGGACUGAGCUCUUUGUAGUGGAAUGAGUUUUCUGUAGCGGACAG